AGAUCGAUGUAUACAUGCAUGCCCUAGACUCAGGUGCCCCGGAGUGAAAUGGGAGUCGAACGGCUAGACAUGCCAUACAAUGUUGCCUUCUUUUCCGCAAUACCCUGAUUACCCAAUUCCUGAUGUACAUUCCGAUUCGUGUCUCUACUGCAGAACUUUAGCUCAUAGAGCAGAAAACUCGUAUCAUCUCUCUAUGUAUGGUGUCGAGCAAUGGAACUGCAGUGAUCUGGCAGUGUGACUGUUGACCUCCUUGACACCAUUCACGUUCGUCGCUCUGAACCCACUCAGCAGACAAGUUGGCAUAGACAUGUUUACAUCAGCAAUCUUUUCUUUGAGAUAUCUGGUGGCCUUUCGUAACCAUCGAAUUCAAGUCAUCUUUGAGUACAUGACAUCUUCUGAAGUUCGUGCCAUCAUGCUUUAGUUUUCCCACAU